rnacentral:rRNA from 1 species
UACGGGGGGGGCAAGCGUUGUUCGGAAUUACUGGGCGUAAAGGGCUCGUAGGUGGCCAACUAAGUCAGACGUGAAAUCCCUCGGCUUAACCGGGGAACUGCGUCUGAUACUGGAUGGCUUGAGAUUGGGAGAGGGAUGCGGAAUUCCAGGUGUAGCGGUGAAAUGUGUAGAGAUCGGGAGGAACACCGGUGGCGAAGGCGGGUCUCUGGGCAAUUCCUGACGCUGAGGCGCGAAAGCGUGGGGAGCAAACGGG